rnacentral:rRNA from 1 species
UACAGAGGUCUCAAGCGUUGUUCGGAUUCAUUGGGCGUAAAGGGUGCGUAGGUGGCGCGGUAAGUCGGGUGUGAAAUUUCGGAGCUUAACUCCGAAACUGCAUUCGAUACUGGCGUGCUUGAGGACUGGAGAGGAGACUGGAAUUCAUGGUGUAGCAGUGAAAUGCGUAGAGAUCAUGAGGAAGACCAGUGGCGAAGGCGGGUCUCUGGACGACUCCUGACACUGAGGCACGAAAGCUGGGGGAGCAAACAGG